rnacentral:tRNA from 1 species
CCAGAUAGCUCAGUUGGUAGAGCGGAGGACUGAAAAUCCUUGUGUCCCUGGUUCGAUUCCUGGUCUGGC